UAUACUGUACAGACCAGUGUACUGAAAAACGGGCUAAUAACACUUCCCUGUGGCUAUUUUGACUCAGAUUACCUCUUACAUAAAGUCAAAUUAAUUGGACAACAGAGGCUAUCCAGUUCUUCUGGCUGGAGAACUGUGUAUUGCUGACACGUGGGGAUACUGAGGGGGAAACUACUUCCCCGCCCUAAAACUAAGACCCACAUAGAGUAUUCUGCCACUGGAGUAGGUGAAGAGGCUUAUCUGCGCUUCAGAGGUUAAAGACAUGGCUGAAUUUGUCAUCAGACAGCUGUCGAUUUCCAGUUCUGUCUAGACUGUUUCCAUGGAAACGGAUACUGUUCGGAACCAGAACCUAAAGACUGAAUGAAGACUAUGAGUCUGAAAACACCCUCAACAACAGCUCUAUUACCAUACAGGCUACAGUACAGGCACAGAGACUGACGGGUGUUCCUGAUAACAGUCACAUGACUGGAAGACACAAAAGGAUGCUAUCUAUCAGAUGGGAAGCAGAAGGCACAAGCUGUGGUUUUGUCAACGGACAGUCUCAACUGUUCCACAGAGAUAGGAAAACACACACACACACACACACCGCAUGCCUUCCUGUGGCUUCCUGUGCAUUUAGCAACAUUUCAGGAAACUGCCACCAUACUCGAGGACAUUCAACCAUCAAGCCAAAUGCCUCAUCUGGAAAUUAAAACAACUGUCAACUUUUUUAUGUAUGUCAAUAAACAUAUUUAAUU